AUUGAACGCUGGCGGCAUGCCUUACACAUGCAAGUCGAACGGUAACAGGUCUUCGGAUGCUGACGAGUGGCGAACGGGUGAGUAAUGCAUCGGAACGUGCCGAGUAGUGGGGGAUAGCCCGGCGAAAGCCGGAUUAAUACCGCAUACGACCUGAGGGUGAAAGGGGGGGAUCGCAAGACCUCUCGCUAUUGGAGCGGCCGAUGUCAGAUUAGCUAGUUGGUGGGGUAAAGGCCUACCAAGGCAACGAUCUGUAGUUGGUCUGAGAGGACGACCAGCCACACUGGGACUGAGACACGGCCCAGACUCCUACGGGAGGCAGCAGUGGGGAAUUUUGGACAAUGGGCGCAAGCCUGAUCCAGCAAUGCCGCGUGCAGGAAGAAGGCCUUCGGGCUGUAAACUGCUUUUGUCAGGGAAGAAAUCUUCUGGGUUAAUACCUCGGAAGGAUGACGGUACCUGAAGAAUAAGCACCGGCUAACUACGUGCCAGCCGCCGCGGUAACAC
rnacentral:rRNA from 1 species